CAGCAGCCACGGGAAUACGGAGGGUGCAAGCGUUAAUCGGGAUUACUGGGCGUAAAGCGUGCGCAGGCGGUUAUAUAAGUCAGAUGUGAAAUCCCCGGGCUCAACCUGGGAACUGCAUUUGAGACUGUAUGGCUAGAGUGUGUCAGAGGGGGGCAGAAUUCCACGUGUAGCAGUGAAAUGCGUAGAUAUGUGGAGGAAUACCGAUGGCGAAGGCAGCCCCCUGGGAUAACACUGACGCUCAUGCACGAAAGCGUGGGGAGCAAACAGGAUUAGAUACCCCCGUAGUCCCUGUCUCUUAUAC
rnacentral:rRNA from 1 species